GAUGUCAUUCUCCACUCUGCCCCGCAUCACGUUCUCCGAUUACUUCAGCAGGUACACGGCGCUCUUCCUCACCAUACAUUGGCUCUACCCCCAGCAAUAAGCCUAUUGGAUGUUGCUCUUGGUCCGCCUCAGCCCUUGUGCCCAUUGGAUGUUGCUCUCAGCCCCACCCCUGCCACUCACACCCACUGGCUAUUGCCUCUGGCUCCGCCCACAGCACAAGUACCCAUUGGAGGGUACCACUGGCCGCCCAGGCACUCACACCCACUGGAUGUUGUUCUUGGCCUUCUUGCGGAUGAGCUGGAUGCCUUCCAGCACGUUGGUGAUGUCAUAGAUGCGCCGCUUCUGCACGUCCAGCACCUCAGCGGCCCAGUUCAGGUCCAGGACCCCAUCCUCUGACUCGCUCAGGAGGUAAAUGAACUUCUUGGGUCCCAAUGCGGCAAGUGUCCCCCUAAGGAUACCUCCCUGACACCUUUGGACAGUGCCCAGAGGAAAGUCAGCCUAUGGCUUGGGCUGAACCUGCAGAACACAGGUGGCAGAGGACAAGCCCAGGAGGAUCAGGAUCAAGCGCCAAACGUCGUGCCGCGAAAUUCGGAUCUCCCGCGGAAAAUGCCGCGCUCCGGUUGGCUGCUGCAACAGUACAGGCUCCACCCCCCCGGAAAGAACGCGUCCUCGAGGCGGCGAUUGCAACACUAACUUCGCUGCUUAAAGGGGCAGCCACACCUGCUGUUGGUGCCGCCAGCCGCCGGCCGCGCUAGUUAGCAGCCGGCGAGACGGAGACAGAGGGUGGUUCCGGGAUGCACAGUGCAGAGGCGGCCAGAGCAGUGCACAGCGCCCCGAGAAAUGGGCCCGGAUUCCCUGGGAUUGAAGGGAAACAUUUUGGCGCGGGGUCCCAGCCUGACCCCAGACCCAGCAGUGUAUUCCCCAGGCCACAGGACCUUUUGUUAGUUUGCAUUGUUGCUUAGCUAGCACAUGUGUAUUCAUAUCCCCUUUCCUGCUAAAAUGAAGGCCAGGAACCUGUUCCCUUUAAUGGCAGAGGGGUGAGGGACGGAGGCAAACUAGUCUACUUCUUUGUAGGGAAAACUAACAUCUAUUCAGUGCCUACAGGAUGCCAAGCACCAUGCUAGAUCCUUACAAGCGUUGUUUUAGUUAAUUUAUUCCAACAAUCCUGGGAAGAGGAAUGAUGAUCCCCAUGAUAAAAACUGACAGUCUGAAAGGCUGGGUAACUUGCCCAAGGUCAUACAGAGAGAUUCCCUGAUUUGAGAGCUGGCAACAGAAUCUGGGACAGGUCCCAGCUCUGGAGCCCUUGUUUUUCCAGUUAAGGGGUUCUUCUACCCUCCCAAGCUGCCUGGGGGCACAGCAGGGUCAGAGUCCCACUGCAGAGCUUUGUCUUGUUCACAGUUGUAUUAUUAGGACCCAACACUCAGUAAAUGUUUGAACAUC